rnacentral:lncRNA from 1 species
AUAAAAGGAUAAUUCAAUUGCAACAUAUUGCAAAGCAUGCCAUACGCAUUUGCUGACCCAAAGAAAGUAACUAUAUUCUCACUACAAAUGCUCAUAUCAAGUCCUAGAAGGACAAAGUCUUUGAUACGCUUAAAGCGUAUAGACAAAUUGAUUUCAAAAAGAACUUCUUAAUAAAGAAGAUGAGCAAAUGAUCAAAGUGAUCAUAAUAAGG